rnacentral:rRNA from 1 species
UAUAGCAACGGAUCUCUUGGCUCUCGUAUCGAUGAAGAACGCACCGAAAUGUGAUAAGUAAUGUGAAUUGCAAAAUUCACUGAAUCAUCGAAUCUUUGAACGCAUCUUGCGCUCUUUGGUAUUCCGAAGAGCAUGUCUGUCUGAGUGUCACGAAACUCUCAACCUCCUUUCCUUUGUGAUCGGCUGGUUGGAUCAUGGGCGCUUGCCGGCCAGGUCGGCUCGCCUGAAAUGCAUUUGCGAUGUUGUGUCCUUGUGAGUUGGCCCGACUAGGCGUGAUGGUAACGACGUUCGUCUAGGAUCCCGCUUCGGCGAGGAGCCGCUCCUGUUGGGCGUUUGCCUUCGCAUGAACACUCAUAUCUUUGGUUUAGACCUCAGAUCAGGCAGGAUUACCCGCUGAACUUAAGCAUAUCAAUAAGUGGGAGGAACGAGCCUUAAAAUCAGUGGCGGUGCCUUCUGGCUUCAAGCGUAGUAAUACUUCUCGUUUGGGAGCUCCAGUUGUGUACCUGCUAGAAAACCCCAAUUUUUAAAGGUUGACCUCGGAUCAGGUAGGGAUACCCGCUGAACUUAAGCAUAUCAAUA